UACGGGGGGGGCAAGCGUUGUUCGGAAUUAUUGGGCGUAAAGAGCUUGUAGGCGGUCUGUCGCGUCUGCUGUGAAAAUCCGGGGCUCAACCCCGGACUUGCAGUGGGUACGGGCAGACUAGAGUGUGGUAGGGGAGACUGGAAUUCCUGGUGUAGCGGUGAAAUGCGCAGAUAUCAGGAGGAACACCGGUGGCGAAGGCGGGUCUCUGGGCCGAUACUGACGCUGAGAAGCGAAAGCAUGGGGAGCGAACAGG
rnacentral:rRNA from 1 species